UACGUAGGGUGCGAGCGUUAAUCGGAAUUACUGGGCGUAAAGGCGUGCGCAGGCGGUUUAUUUAAGUCAGGUGUGAAAGCCCUGGGCUUAACCUAGGAAUUGCGCUUGAGACUGGAUAGCUUGGAGUGCGGCAGAGGGAGGUGGAAUUCCGACGUGUAGCAGUGAAAUGCGUAGAGAUGAUGGAGGAACACCGAUGGCGAAGGCAGCCUCCGUGGGCCACACGUGACGCUCAGUGCACGAAAGCGUGGGGAGCAAACAGGG
rnacentral:rRNA from 1 species